UCCCCUAGUAACUGCGAGUGAAGCGGGAAGAGCUCAAAUUUUGAAUCUGGCGGUCUUUUGGCCGUCCGAGUUGUAAUCUAGAGAAGCGUCUUCCGCGCUGGACCGUGUAUAAGUUUCCUGGAAWGGAACGUCGUAGAGGGUGAGAAUCCCGUCUUUGACACGGACUCCCAGGGCUAUGUGAUGCGCUCUCGACGAGUCGAGUUGUUUGGGAAUGCAGCUCAAAUAGGGUGGUAAAUUCCAUCUAAAGCUAAAUACAGGCGAGAGACCGAUAGCGAACAAGUACCGUGAGGGAAAGAUGAAAAGAACUUUGGAAAGAGAGUUAAACAGUACGUGAAAUUGCUGAAAGGGAAACGCUUGAUGUCAGUCGCGUCGGCCGGGGAUCAGCCUUGCUUWACCGCUAGGCGUACUUCCUGGUCGACGGGUCAGCAUCAGUUUU
rnacentral:rRNA from 1 species